UACGUAGGGUGCGAGCGUUAAUCGGAAUUACUGGGCGUAAAGCGUGCGCAGGCGGUCUGUUAAGACAGAUGUGAAAUCCCCGGGCUUAACCUGGGAACUGCAUUUGUGACUGGCAGGCUAGAGUAUGGCAGAGGGGGGUAGAAUUCCACGUGUAGCAGUGAAAUGCGUAGAGAUGUGGAGGAAUACCGAUGGCGAAGGCAGCCCCCUGGGCCAAUACUG
rnacentral:rRNA from 1 species